GCCUCCAUGGCGGAAUUGGUAGACGCCCUCGCCUUAAGAGCGAGUAUCCUUGUGGUGUGUGGGUUCGACUCCCUCUGGAGGCACCA
rnacentral:tRNA from 1 species